UACAGAGGGUGCAAGCGUUGUUCGGAAUUAUUGGGCGUAAAGGGAGUGUAGGCGGUGAGUUAAGUCUUCUGUGAAAGCUGCGGGCUCAGCCUGCAAAGUGCAGAGGAAACUGGCUGACUUGAGUGUCGGAGAGGAUAGGGGAAUACCCAGUGUAGAGGUGAAAUUCGUAGAGAUUGGGUGGAACACCAGUGGCGAAGGCGCCUAUCUGGCUGACAACUGACGCUGAGACUCGAAAGCAUGGGGAGCAAACAGG
rnacentral:rRNA from 1 species